UAUUCAACAACGUAGUUUAUUGAUGAAUUAGACAAAAACAUUCAGACUAAGUCAAUAUGUCUCUUGUUUUGAAAUAUUCAGUCAUAUAUGUGUCUUGUUUUGAAACACAUGUCUCCUGCUUUGAAAGAUUCAGUCUUAUAUGCGUCUUGUUUUGAAACAUUGUCUAUGUCAAUAUCUCCAGUUUUGAAACAUUCAGUCAAUAUUCAAUAUUUCUCUUAUUACGAGCAUGACAUGGCCUAAAUUGUGCCAAUGUGCCAAAUAGCCCCAAAAUAUUUUGUUAUGAAACAUUCAGUCUUUGUCAAUAUUCUCUUGCUAUGUAACAUUGAAGUCCAUGUCAACAUGUUUCUUGCUUAGAAACAUUCAGUCUUUGUCUCUUGUCUGACAAUGAGGUUUUUUUGUCUCAUGCAAAUGAGUGGAGAUUACUGCCCAACAGAUCUUUUAGCUCAUUAGUUGCCACUUCAACAUUGUAACAUGGCAGCUAAUCAAAGAGUUGAACAUUAAAGUAAAUAUAUAUAGGUCAGUAUAGAAGUACAACCAUGGAGAAUUCUAGCACAACACUUAAAAAUGAUCAGAAAUAUUUUGCUCUCAAAAUGCUUUGCUAUAUACAGAAUUAAUUACUUUAUACCAAAAAAAUUCCAUAAUUCUUUUUCAGCGUUGCACAGGAAUUAUGUAUUUAAAAAUAUAUAACUUCAUAUAUCGUACAGUACAGAUUGCCUUGCUAUGUCGUGUAGUACACAGCAUAUCUACAGGCUCACAGUUGUCCCAAUUACAAAAAGUGUUGUUUUUUUUCUUCAAAGUCUUCAAGAAAUGUAUUUAUAUUAAAAAUAUUAAAUAAAACUUUUUCAUUAGCUGGUAAAAAAAAAAAGACAAAGGAGAAGUCUGGGAAGCUUCUGUAAAAAUUCCUCUACGUAGGAAAUCCUGUACAUGUGUGUCAACAUGAGCCCAAUCACAAUCUACAACUGUAACACCAAUCAAAAACUAAAAAGACACAACCACAACAAUAGAAAUAUUGAAAUAAAACUUGAUAUAAAAUCUGUACAAAAAUAAGAAAAAACAUAUCAUCUUCAUAUACAUAUUUCUACAAAAUCUAGAUCUGCCAGGUCAGAUGAUAGUCCUCGGAGACUUCAUCACAUGUCAGGUCAAAUGUUAAAUAAAAAAGGUCGAUGAAGGAGUGAAAGCUUUAUCUGGCAAGUCAAAUCUUAAAUAAACUGGUCCAGGAACAACUUGUCAGUCUGAGUAAUUAAAAAGUAAAGUAACCCUUUCAGACGGUCUAUGAAAGUAACCCUUUCAGACGGUCUAUGAAAGUAACCCUUUCAGACGGUCGAUGAAAGUAACCCUUUCAGACGGUCGAUGAAAGUAACCCUUUCAAACGCUCUAUGAAAGUAACCCUUUUAGGCAGUCUAUGAGGCAGAUAGUAUUUUAAAAUAACAACUUUCCAAAGCUUCCUAGAGUUGCAAGUACCAAUAAGGUUCAAUGAAAACAUAUGUAAAUGUUUACUUUAACAGUGACAUGCCAAUUGGCAUUAUACAUCAGUGUCAUGGGUAAAUAUUUCCAAGCACACAUUAGAGAAGCUCAACAGCCAGACAGCUCAAUAAGGGAACUAAGACCAAGAUAGGGAAGACAUGUCUUACAGUAAAUUACAAUCUAAUUUAAAGAUACAUCUUUAAAAAAAAGUGAUCAUAGCUUCUAAUAACCUCAAUAGCUUUGGUCGAUACAGAAGAGAUUAGCUGUAUUCAACUGCACACAAUAAAACAUCAUAGUAUCCAUGUUUAAAUUCUGGUUCUCAAAACCCUAGAAAAAUUUUAAAAAUAUUUGCUUUUCAUUCGUCAAUGUAACAUAGACACUUUUCAGUUCCAAGUAAAAACAAUAAAAAAA
rnacentral:sRNA from 1 species